UACGGCAGCUCUGAAAGAAUGAUAGGCUUUUGUGGAUGUGAGUGGAUGGACUGGGAAUGGUGCAACAUUUGUCUGUUACAUCCCCAUUCACAGCUUCAUGUUGGAAGAGGGGAGGGUUGUAAAACAG